rnacentral:lncRNA from 1 species
CGACGACCUGCGGGCCCUCGCGCCCGGGCCGGCAACUCCCUGGGAGCUCGGCCCGCGCGGGGAACUCGCCCAGCAGCCUGUGUUUCUCGAGUGUGGGCAGCCGGCUCCCGGGCGUCCCUCCCACCGGCUGCGGGGGCCCGGGACUGGGCGGUAGUGGAGGCAGGUCCUUGGACUGCAGGCUGAGGCUUUUUCCCCCCACGAGCGGUUUGGGCCCUCCAGGAGCCCCUGCGCGGGGGUCACGUGGAUUACGCUAGGUGAGAGCCGGAGAGGCUGCGCCACCGUCGGGAGGCUCCCUGCCUCCGCCCUUUGUCCUUUGCCCCUGACCAUGAGCGCCCCAAGCCCAGGGACCUCCUUAGGGGGAUGAAGGCUGGAAGAGACCUGGGGGCUCAGACUUACGGGGAAGGAACCUAGGCUAUUCCUUGUGCAUCCCAGGAUUUUACCCAUGAACGUGAACAUGAACGUGUUUUCAACCCCAGCGGUUCCCCUGGCGCCUCGACCCUCCUUUGAAGAGUCAUUCUAGAAGGCUGUAUUGCGAUAGUGUUUGUACCUGUCACUGUGAGCCCUGAAAAGAGACAGAAGAAAACGCGAGUGCCUGGCCUGAGGGUGCUCCGUCCCGUGGGUAGCCAGGGCACUCCACUUCAGCAUUCUCCUGUGGUGUAACAUUACCUGCCACUCAUGCUGGUUCCCAUGCGCCAAGCUAAUUUCAACAACGGGUGAAGUGGGUAUCUCCAUGUGAUGGCUGAGGAGACAGAUUCUGGGUGUUGCUACUAAGCCUCAUGGAGGCAGCCAUGACAGAGCAGAGCCUUCUGUCCUCCUGUUCCAGGUCAGCAGCCUCUCCCAAGGCAGGACUCCAUGGGCCAGCCUCUUUCCUCCCCCACCCUGCUUCUUCAGGCCAGCUCUUAUUUGGUCUGACAAUAAGUCUGAGGUAAGCUGUUACUGGCUGACGGUGUUUGGUGCCUUUCCCAAGAAUGGGUACAUUUUAACCUGGGCAUCCUCUUGAUACCACCUUAAUCAAGGUUCCAGUGGUGGGUCUUUUAUAGAGGGUGUGGUUGGGAGAUGAGAUUCCUUUGUGAAGAAGAUAUUUUAGUGGCCUCUAGGUCCCACUAGGCAGCUUGUGCUUGCACGACAAUUCCUUAAACAAGCAUUUCAUGGCCUGAGCAGGGCUCAGAAAUCCUCAAGAAUUCAGAAUGUCAGCAAAAGUCCAAAUCUGUGUUUCAUAACACCAAAAUUAUUUACAUGGACUCAGAAAUUUUCCUUACAUUGUUAACCUGGACUGGUCCUCCCAUCCUAACACACACCCACACACAGACUUACUUAGCUCCGCAUCUAAGUGGUUUGUAGUGGCACAUGUUUAGAUUUUGUACCCCAAAGCUCAAAAAGUAUUUUUUAUCAUGAAUUUAACUGAAAAAUACACAUAUUUCCAUUCCAGAGAGGACUCCUCUUGUUGGGGGCUAACUUCAACACCAG